rnacentral:rRNA from 1 species
AACGAACGCUGGCGGCAGGCUUAACACAUGCAAGUCGAACGCCCCGCAAGGGGAGUGGCAGACGGGUGCGUAACGCGUGGGAACAUACCCUUUUCUACGGAAUAGCUCUGGGAAACUGGAAUUAAUACCGUAUACGCCCUACGGGGGAAAGAUUUAUCGGGGAAGGAUUGGCCCGCGUUGGAUUAGCUAGUUGGUGGGGUAAAGGCCUACCAAGGCGACGAUCCAUAGCUGGUCUGAGAGGAUGAUCAGCCACAUUGGGACUGAGACACGGCCCAAACUCCUACGGGAGGCAGCAGUGGGGAAUAUUGGAAAAUGGGCGCAAGCCUGAUCCAGCCAUGCCGCGUGAGUGAUGAAGGCCUUAGGGUUGUAAAGCUCUUUCACCGAUGAAGAUAAUGACGGUAGUCGGAGAAGAAGCCCCGGCUAACUUCGUG